GAUGGAUGCCUUCUUAAUCACAGCCUGUGUGGGUAAAGGGAAAGCCUUGCCUGGCCAACCCCUCCCACUCCCACCCCCACCUCCUGCAUUGAUUCACAAACCUGGACUGCUCUGGAGGAGGCUGGGAAAGUCCAUCCCCAGGGAAUACCACUUUUUUCCUCUUCUGUGCCUCUCACAGGACACCCACAUGACUAGGAGGAGGCAGAAAGUGAAUAGGGAGCUCUUAUUACUUUUUGAGUGUCAGCAAGUUAAGACAUCAUCUCCAGAAAACUGUGCUAGUUGGCAUCCAGCAGUGCCCAAGUAUUAUUUAACCCACUAGAACCUGUGACUGCAUCAGCUUUAUAUCCUGGACCUCAGCCUGGAACAAAGGAGAGCUACACUUGGAUACUAAACACAAGUGGUCUGGAUAGAUUAUGCUGGGAAAAGAAGCCUGGAGCAGGCAGUACAGUGGGAGAACAAGGAGAGAAUGGAGUUGCAGCAGACUGCUCAGGAAUUGUACAUCACCAGUAGCUUCUGUCUCAGCUAAGUGUGGGAGACUGAUACUGAUGAGCCAUUAACAAUGGUGGAGAUUCUGAAUCACUGAAGCACUUGAUAAAAGAAAUGUCGUGGGUGAUGUGAAAAUCUACAUAUGCCCAUGAGAGUAUAUUGAGUUUACAGAAGUGCUUGCCUUGGUGAUCCAAAAAAGGCAGGAUCCGGCCGGGGGCAAGGUGAUUAUUCUGUCUGAUGAGGAGAAUAAGAGCCAGUUUGUGGUAUUGACAGAAGAAUGAAAGUAAAGUCUUGAAAGAUGGGAAGAUCAGGAGCAGUCUGGAGUCAUGGUAUAUGAAUGAACUAGUGAGAGUGGGCACAAAGUCUGAAGAUCUUUGUAGUGCAGCUAAUGUCUAAGGGAGAAUAUACCUACCCUAGAAGAGACAUUAAACAACCAGGAAGCUUACUGCAGGAAAGAAAUCCCUCAGAGUCCUGAAGAUACAGCUUUCAGAACUUAGGUGAAGCAAGAGGACUCAAGGUGUGCAAGAAUGGACAGUACAGAAUGCUCUGCUACACUGCUCAGAUUCCCCCUUCAGGAAGGAAGGACAAAUUCACUCAACUUCUGGGAGCAUUGAUGGUUGAGCUCUCAGCCAUCAGACCUUUUUGGAAGUUGCCCUCUUCUGAAAAGAGGCACAUUGCCCAAGAUCUUUCCUCCUCCAGAGCGCAGGCUGCACCUGAAGUCUGAUUGAUGUGGGGUAUGAUGGUCUGGUCUCCUUUCCCCAUCUAAAGGACUGUUCUAACCUCAGGGCUCUCCUUGAGUUUCCUUAGUUAGUUCUUAUUACUAUGUUGCAGUCCAACUUCUUCUUUGGCCUAAUUCUACUUUCCUCCCAUUCCCCAAUUGUUGAUCCUGACAGCAAUUUCCCCCCAAAUUUCUGUAAACUAAGCAUGAUCUCAGAGUCACCUGACCUGCAACAUUAUUACAUACACUAUAGUCCGUGCACUUAAAGAUUUAGUGAAAGUAUGCUGCUGAAGCUUGCCAGAACUUCCCUUCUU
rnacentral:lncRNA from 1 species